rnacentral:rRNA from 1 species
CCUACGGGGUGCUGCAGUGGGGAAUAUUGGGCAAUGGGCGCAAGCCUGACCCAGCAACGCCGCGUGAAGGAAGAAGGCUUUCGGGUUGUAAACUUCUUUUCUCAGGGACGAAGAACGUGACGGUACCUGAGGAAUAAGCCACGGCUAACUACGUGCCAGCAGCCGCGGUACUACGUAGGUGGCAAGCGUUAUCCGGAUUUAUUGGGUGUAAAGGGCGUGUAGGCGGGAGCGCAAGUCAGAUGUGAUAACUCAGGGCUCAACCCUGAGCCUGCAUUUGAAACUGUGGUUCUUGAGUGCUGGAGAGGCGAGCGGAAUUCCGUGUGUAGCGGUGAAAUGCGUAGAUAUCAGGAGGAACACCGGUGGCGAAGGCGGCCUGCUGGACUGCAACUGACGUUGAGGCCCGAAAGCGUGGGGAGCAAACAGGAUUAGAUACCCCUGUAGUC